AUUCAUGCAGGGAGGCCUCAUCUCUUAAUUCUUCAAGAUGGUUGACACUCCGUGUUAGUAUUAUCAUUUCAGGUAACUGUGUUCCAAACUGAAUGGCUCUUUUAAGCUGAAAAUUCUGAAGAAUAACUUUCGGGUUUUGGUAGGAACGGAAAAGUCUAUCUUCCUCUCUCUCAAUGUGUAUUGUGUUCUUUAUUCUCCCUCUAUUUUCUUUUUUCUUUUUCAAGAGGGAGAGGGAGUGGAAUCUUGCAUUUGGAUAACCUCAUGUUCUUUCAGUUAUACUUUUUACCGCUUCGCGCUCACUCCCUAAAUCUCCAUUCAUGUUAGUUGCUGAAACAUUAUUUUUUUUUAUUAAAACAUGCAUAAUGCCUUCCCCAACUAGUUUGAGAGAAAAGCGUUCUUGAGUUUCUAAAAAAUGCAUGUUCAGAUAAUUGUCAUAUGGUUAUAAUCUAGGUUUUGCUUCAAAAGACGUUGAAGGCCUUUCUUCAAAUAGUCUGAAAUAUUACUUAUCAAGUAUGUGGUCAUAUUUAUAAAUUUGGUUUUCUGAUCAAGUCAUUCCUGUAAAAUUUUCAUGCUGUAUCAAUUUUCCAUUGAGCUCAUUUAGGAAAGUUGAAGAGCAAUGAAUCACAAUUAGAGUAUUAGACUACGACUGGAACUUCAGAAUGUUUCGUGCCAACCUCUUGUGAGUCAUGUUGCUCAACCAAGGCAAUGAAUUUCCUAAAACUGCUAGUAAGAAACCUAAUCUAAACAUAAGCUGGAGUAUAGUUACUUUUCAUUUUUUACAUGCACAAUUGUUGUCAUAAAUUGAGCAUAAAGUAGUGGAAUGCUAAAUUGCUAAUAAAGAAUCAUGGGUUAAUUUUCUGUUACAGCAGGUUAAAGAACCUUAAAAUACGUAACUGUUAUAUUUGUAAUUAAAGACUAACGGUAUAUCAUAACAUUUUAUUAGACAAUAGAAACUACUAGUAGUAAUGUUUAUCUAUAUUUUUCCUUUUUGUCCUUUUCUUUUUUUUUCCUUUUUAGGGGAGUGUAAUGGGGAAGCCAGUUGUUAGGGGUGUGACAUAAAGGUUGGCCCUGGUAUUUAUGCAUAUGCACUGGAGGGAUGAACUGGCAAGUCCAUAGAACCUACUUGGGGUGAUGCUAUCUUUUUAUUAUGGACCUGUCAGUUUAUUUACUUGUACAGAGUCUAUUCAAUUGUCCAGUCUAACACCGUAUGGGACAUCACUAGAGACAGACAGAAAACCAAUGAAGAACUCUGAAACUAGUAAUUAGCAAGUACCGAACUUGUUAAUCAGAAACUAUUAACAUUAAUAUGAGUAUCCCAUGCUAUAUUACACUUGCAUAAUUUCUCCUAGUUAUAGUUUUCUGCAUCUUUUAUCAUUUGUAAAUGAAGUUUUCUUCCUUGUGGUUACAUAUACAGUGAAAACAACGAGUUUAACUUUAGGGAUUUAGGGAUGAUAUUUUCACUUGGUCCUCUCUCACAUGAGUAUAUAGUGGGUCCACUUUCAUGUGAGAAGGAAUUAUGUAGAAAUAUCUAAAUCACAUGUAGAAAUAGUGUUCCCUAACUCUAUUAUCCACCCGUAGCAGCAUAAAUUAGAGAUCAUAAAUUGGCAGCUAGUUGAUCCUGAUUAACACAAUUUAUCAAAUUGUGUGGAGGAUGGGGACUUUUUUGAGAUUAGACAGCAUUUUUUGGUAGGUGCACCCAGGGGCGAAGCCACAUGUUAGUCAGUGGGGUCAAUUGCACCCACUGGAUUUUUUUUUAAUAUAUGAUAAAUAGAUUUUUUUUGAGGGUCAAAAGAGUCAAUUUGCACCCACUGAAAUUGGGUAUUACACUUUACUGAAAUUGGGUAUUACACUUUCCCGUUUCAAGAGAAUUUGCACCCACNNNNNNNNNNNNNNNNNNNNNNNNNNNNNNNNNNNNNNNNNNNNNNNNNNNNNNNNNNNNNNNNNNNNNNNNNNNNNNNNNNNNNNNNNNNNNNNNNNNNGUCUCCGAAUUCUCGCCAAAUUAUUUAUAACUUGGUAAUAAUUUCGCCCCCACUGAUACUAUUUUCUAGCUUUGCCACUGGGUGCACCAUCAAUUAGGUACAGGUUUAAUAGAUAAGUUUAUCCUUAGCCCCCUUCCUUUAUACACCAGAAAGCGAGGAAGGACCGGAAUACAUGUAGAAUAAUUUGUUGUAAAUUAGUAUUAGUUAAAGGGAUAAUGGAAACAACCAAAUGAUAGUUACUUUGUUUAUGAUAUUAAAUUUAGUACAUUUGAUUGUUCCAAGUUGGUCAUGUUUAGAAAUAUAGUCAUGGAAAAGGACUAGUGCAAGACUUUUUUAGCUUUAGGUAUGGCAAUCAUGAUUCGAAUCUCUCUCUCUCCCCCCAAGUUGGCUUGUUAUUGUUUACAGUAGGGUGGUUGUUAUGGCUCUGAUGUAAGAGUGGUCAUUGGUUUUAUUAGAGGUGUUAGAACAUCACAAAGGCAAGCUGGGAUUCUUCUAUUAUGAAUAUGGAGGAGGAUAGUGGUCGGUAUGAAUGGUAAGUUCAUUUCAUGAUUAAUACAUGAUUAAUACAGUACUGACAUGCAGACGAGAAGAUUAUCCUUCCGUUUAUAUGUUAGCACUGUAUUGGACAUGAAGUGAAUUUACCGUGAAGUUCACUUCAUGCUAACUGGAUUUAUAGAGGAGGUGCAGAGUAUUUUUGAAAAUUUUAUUAUUUGCGUGUCAAUAAGAAUGUCAUUUUAAAGACGUACCAGUGUAAUUUUUAAUGACAAUAUUGUUAUUAUCAUGUUAUAAUAUUUAAACUAAAUAUUUGUUCGGUAUAAAAAUAAUUAUGAGACGGUUAGCAGUAGUGUUUAUUGGGCGAGGCACGUCUAAUGGUGGAUGGGUUUAGGUCGGCAAUUCUGGGCCUCUAGUCCCUAUCAAUUGAAAUGAUAGGCUUGGGUGGGUGGGUGGCUGGGUGCGUGCGUGGGUGGGUGCGUUGGGGGUNNNNNNNNNNNNNNNNNNNNNNNNNNNNNNNNNNNNNNNNNNNNNNNNNNNNNNNNNNNNNNNNNNNNNNNNNNNNNNNNNNNNNNNNNNNNNNNNNNNNAAUAAGUUGGAUUUUUAAUUGGUAAUGUAAGGGUGAGGUGCCUAACAAAGACCCACCGGUGAUGAUUGCUUUUGGCACGUAGUGUUGAAGGCUCAGAGCAGGUUUAAGUGACACGUGUGAGCAUCAAGUUCUUUGCUUUGCUUUUUUGAUGAGCUGGUGGCAUGUAAGAGAGUUGUUGGUUUAACUCUUUAUCACUUUACUAAUUUGCCUGUGUGUUUGCUCGUAAAUACCCAUACUGCUAACUCUUUUUUUUUUUUCUCUUUAUAAUACAAUUUUUAUAUAUAUGAGAAAAUGAGUGCUGAAAAUUGAAGUCUCGCUAACUAGUGGAGGGGUUGCUAACAAGGGGAGAGGAGUGUGUUUCUUCACCGCUAUCGGCGGUCUAAAUGAAUCGAGUUAAGUAUUUAGUUAUUUAAAUUUGGUUCAAUAAAUUUAUUGAGUAUAAAAUAGUAUUUGAUUGAGAUUCGUUUAGUUACUGAAUAGAGCAUAAUUUCAAAUUGAGUACGAACGGUUUAAAUUUUUUGAACGAAUAUGAUCUGAGUAUCAAUAGAAAAUUAUAGUUUGAGUAAGUUUGAAUAAUUUAUCAAAUUUUAAAAUUUGUUCACAAGUAUGGAUCAAGUCCGAAUUAUUUACUCAUUUUAUAACCUUAAUCACCAAUGCUACCACCCUAAUUCUCACUAACCAUUAGCAAACCCAGCACCGGUUAGUAGCCUAGUAUUUAGAAGUUCUAACUUAGGGUUAGUUUGUAUAUGGGCGUUUAUACUGUUGGUUUAUAGUGUUUUGACUUUUUAAACGCAUUACAUUAGCUAUAGUACGGAGUUUGCUGCAUACACUUAAUUUUAAGAUAAUUGGGAAAAAAUAGUUAUUAAUUGCGCGACUCGGGCCGGUAUUAUUGUUUCCUAAUGUCCAAAAAAAGAAUAGAACUGAAAAAGGUGACCGGUUUAGAGGCCACGAUUCCAUUUCAAAAUUAUGACAGAAACAAACAACAAUCCAAAAUAAUCCAAUCUCUUUCACUAAAAUGUAAGUAAACGUUCUGAGCUUCUCAUAAAUUGGGAAAUUAAAGAGGAGUAUAUAGCUCUCGAGUACAGCACAUGAACCGCUGACUUUGACGUUAAUGAACUUUGAAAUCAACUGCAGAAGCUUUAUGUGAAACUAUGAAUCAGUCAGACUUUAAGCUAAGCUUUGCUUUGCUUGUACUAGUUCUUAGUUAUUGUUUGUAUGGAAAAUAGUCGAAAUACAUUGGACUGGCCAGUCUUUUGCACCCUCUUAACAUGAUAAAUUGUUUCUUGUUUAAUACUCCUACUCCUACUUAAUCUUUUUCACUUACCAAUAGGAAAUAGCAAUAUGAAUUUACCACAAAAUAAAUAAAUCAGGGAUGUGUAUAGCUGUCUAGAUUAGAUUAAUUAUUCCUCACAAAAAAAAUGUAUAUUUGAUACACGAAUUUAACAUUAAUGUGAGAAAGAACUAAAUAUUAAUUCUUUAUCUGAUUUACAUAAAAUUAGUGCCUUUUUUUGCGGCUAAGCUAGAAUGAUUGUACUAUUGCAAUUGUUUGGUUUGGAUUUCAAAUGAUUUAAAUUAGAUAGUUGUAUUUGAAUGAAUGAGAGUUAUAAUUGUGUAAUUAUAUAAUAUUUAAAUUUUAUUUUUUUUAUAAAAAAAAUGGUCAUUCGAAAGGUAACUUUGAUGAUCAUUAAUACUAUUUAGUUAUAAAUUGCUGAAUUAGAUGGUCCGUUUGACCAUUUUUAACUACUUGGAAUCAUAAUUUGUAAUUAUAUUCACCUUCUAUAGAUAAAAUAGAUGGAUCAUGAAAGGACAAGGUACUUGAAAGAGUGGAUGCUCCACUCUAAUGUUGCGCCGCACCACAGACUUCUUCCACCUUUCGAGUGAUCGUUUACUACUACUCCUAGUCGACUACGUACAAAGUAAGCAUUGAAGCGAUA
rnacentral:lncRNA from 1 species